rnacentral:rRNA from 1 species
UACGUAGGGUGCAAGCGUUGUCCGGAAUUAUUUGGGCGUAAAGAGCUCGUAGGCGGUCUGUCGCGUCGGCUGUGAAAUCCCGAGGCUCAACCUCGGGUCUGCAGUCGAUACGGGCAAACUUGAGUGUUGCAGGGGAGACUGGAAUUCCUGGUGUAGCGGUGAAAUGCGCAGAUAUCAGGAGGAACACCGGUGGCGAAGGCGGGUCUCUGGACCACAACUGACGCUGGAGGCGCGAAAGCUAGGGGAGCAAACAGG